rnacentral:ncRNA from 2 species
ACCUAAACCUAAUAGCAACGGAAAGCCCGGAUCCCGAUUUUCAUCGGGAGAGGACUUGUAGUGGAUAGCAGGAGCAAAC